AACGAACGCUGGCGGCAGGCUUAACACAUGCAAGUCGAACGCCCCGCAAGGGGAGUGGCCGCCGGGUGAGUAACGCGUGGGAACAUACCCUUUUCUACGGAAUAGCUCUGGGAAACUGGAAUUAAUACCGUAUACGCCCUACGGGGGAAAGAUUUAUCGGGGAAGGAUUGGCCCGCGUUGGAUUAGCUAGUUGGUGGGGUAAAGGCCUACCAAGGCGACGAUCCAUAGCUGGUCUGAGAGGAUGAUCAGCCACAUUGGGACUGAGACACGGCCCAAACUCCUACGGGAGGCAGCAGUGGGGAAUAUUGGACAAUGGGCGCAAGCAUGAUCCAGCCAGGCCGCGUGAGUGAUGAAGGACUUAGGGUUGUAAAGCUCUUUCAACGAUGAAGAUAAUGACGGUAGUCGGAGAAGAAGCCCCGGCUAACUUCGUG
rnacentral:rRNA from 1 species